rnacentral:rRNA from 1 species
UACGUAUGGUGCAAGCGUUAUCCGGAUUUACUGGGUGUAAAGGGCGUGUAGGCGGGACUGCAAGUCAGAUGUGAAACCCAUGGGCUCAACCCAUGGCCUGCAUUUGAAACUGUAGUUCUUGAGUGAUGGAGAGGCAGGCGGAAUUCCGUGUGUAGCGGUGAAAUGCGUAGAUAUACGGAGGAACACCAGUGGCGAAGGCGGCCUGCUGGACAUUAACUGACGCUGAGGCGCGAAAGCGUGGGGAGCAAACAGG